rnacentral:rRNA from 1 species
AUUGAACGCUGGCGGAAUGCUUUACACAUGCAAGUCGAACGGUAGAGGGGGCAACCCCUCGAGAGUGGCGAACGGGUGAGUAAUAUAUCGGAACGUGCCCAGUCGUGGGGGAUAACGUAGCGAAAGUUACGCUAAUACCGCAUACGAUCUACGGAUGAAAGCGGGGGACCGUAAGGCCUCGCGCGAUUGGAGCGGCCGAUAUCAGAUUAGGUAGUUGGUGGGGUAAAGGCUCACCAAGCCAACGAUCUGUAGCUGGCCUGAGAGGACGACCAGCCACACUGGAACGGAGACACGGUCCAGACUCCUACGGGAGGAAGCAGUGGGGAAUUUUAGACAAUGGACGCAAGUCUGAUCCAGCCAUUCCGCGUGCAGGAUGAAGGCCCUCGGGUUGUAAACUGCUUUUGUACGGAACGAAAAGGUUUCCAUUAAUACUGGGAGCUCAUGACGGUACCGUAAGAAUAAGCACCGGCUAACUACGUGCCAGCAGCCGCAGUAA